UCCCUGGUGGCUCAGAGGUUAAAGCAUCUGCCUGCAAUGCAGAAGACCUGGGUUCAAUCCCUGGGUUGGGAA
rnacentral:tRNA from 1 species